rnacentral:rRNA from 1 species
GAGCUUGCUCUUAUGAAGUUAGCGGCGGACGGGUGAGUAACACGUGGGUAACCUACCCAUAAGACUGGGAUAACUCCGGGAAACCGGGGCUAAUACCGGAUAAUAUUUUGAACUGCAUAGUUCGAAAUUGAAAGGCGGCUUCGGCUGUCACUUAUGGAUGGACCCGCGUCGCAUUAGCUAGUUGGUGAGGUAACGGCUCACCAAGGCGACGAUGCGUAGCCGACCUGAGAGGGUGAUCGGCCACACUGGGACUGAGACACGGCCCAGACUCCUACGGGAGGCAGCAGUAGGGAAUCUUCCGCAAUGGACGAAAGUCUGACGGAGCAACGCCGCGUGAGUGAUGAAGGCUUUCGGGUCGUAAAACUCUGUUGUUAGGGAAGAACAAGUGCUAGUUGAAUAAGCUGGCACCUUGACGGUACCUAACCAGAAAGCCACGGCUAACUACGUGCCAGCAGCCGCGGUAAUACGUAGGUGGCAAGCGUUAUCCGGAAUUAUUGGGCGUAAAGCGCGCGCAGGUGGUUUCUUAAGUCUGAUGUGAAAGCCCACGGCUCAACCGUGGAGGGUCAUUGGAAACUGGGAGACUUGAGUGCAGAAGAGGAAAGUGGAAUUCCAUGUGUAGCGGUGAAAUGCGUAGAGAUAUGGAGGAACACCAGUGGCGAAGGCGACUUUCUGGUCUGUAA